CAGUGAGGAAUAUUGGGCAAUGCCCGCAAGGGUGACCCAGCAACGCCGCGUGGAGGAUGAAUGUCGUAAGAUUGUAAACUCCUGUUAGAGGGGAAGAAUAGUACCGGUUGGACCGGUAUAUGACUGUACCCUCAGAGAAAGCCCCGGCUAACUACGUGCCAGCAGCCGCGGUAAUACGUAGGGGGCAAGCGUUGUCCGGAUUUACUGGGUGUAAAGGGCGCGCAGGCGGGAUAAAAAGUCAGUGGUGAAAUCCUACAGCUUAACUGUAGAACUGCCUUUGAUACUUUUAUUCUUGAGUUCGGGAGAGAGAGACGGAAUUCCAGGUGUAGUGGUGAAAUACGUAGAUAUCUGGAAGAACACCAGUUGCGAAGGCGGUCUCUUGGUCCGACACUGACGCUGAGGCGCGAAAGCGUGGGGAGCAAACA
rnacentral:rRNA from 1 species